GCCUACGGCCAUACCGCCCUGAAUGCCUCUGAUCUCGGAAGCUAAGCAGGGUCAGGUCUGGUUAGUACUUGGAUGGGAGACCGCCUGGGAAUACCAGGGGCUGUAAGCU
rnacentral:rRNA from 1 species